CUCUCUACGGGGCGCAGCAGGCGCGAAAACUUUACAAUGCGGUUAAACCGUGAUAAGGGGACACCGAGUGCCAGCGUCAUACGCUGGCUGUCCAGGUGUGUAAAAUACACCUGAUAGCAAGGGCCGGGCAAGACCGGUGCCAGCCGCCGCGGUAACACCGGCGGCCCGAGUGGUAAUCGUGAUUAUUGGGUCUAAAGGGUCCGUAGCCGGUUUGGUCAGUCCUCCGGGAAAUCUGACAGCUCAACUGUUAGGCUUUCGGCGGAUACUGCCAGACUCGGAACCGGGAGAGGUAAGAGGUACUACAGGGGUAGGAGUGAAAUCCUGUAAUCCA
rnacentral:rRNA from 1 species